CUGUCCGGCCAUUCCCGCUUGCACUAGUGCAGACCGCAGCGGGGAUGGGUCAAAUGGGGUCCUUUCCCGGAAGUCACAGACAGAGGCAUGGUGAUCGUUGCGGGCCAGAGCCCAGGGAGAGGCCAGGGGCGUUUUCCAGGGAGUGCGGAGUCGAGCACCCUCGUGUUCUAUCGCAAACCCAAUCAACCCGCUCGGGGAGAUUCUAGUUGAGGUAAACUAACAAAAUGUAUUGUGCCAGAGAGCGGUCAGCAUUCUGGAGGGUAAUGCGGGUGGACACUCGGGUGGGGGCCGAUUUCGGGGAGUUCAGCGGAGCGCAGGAUGAUCUUCCGCCGUCUGCGACGGGGGCUGGGCCAGCCUCCCCUCCAAUCACAGCUCAGCAUGUCCCUCAGGGUUCUGCGACUUCCGGCUGUCAACGCGGAAACCGUGAGGCGGGUCGGGAGCGGCGCCAGGAGGGCUGCCUAGUGCGGGGCUGACCAGUCAGGACAGCCGGGGCUCUGCAGCUCAGCCCUUCCGCAUCCGCGGGUGCCUCCCGCGGCAUUUCCCCUUCUGUCCCUGAGACAAUGCGCGGUCCCCUCCCAGAGUACUGUGGGGCCGCUUUGCGGUCGGCCAGGUUCCUCUCAGCCAUCUGCCCUGGCCCAGGCCCAGGCCCGUGGUUCUUACAUCCGCCCCAGUCGCUAUCCUAACCUCAGGGAGUCGCCUCCACCUCGUCGGACAUAGGUCUGGCAUCCAUCCCGGUCUCAGCUUCCGUGGAGGCUCUGCCCUCCUCACAUUCCCAGCAUCGUUUCUGGACUCCCGUGAGAGCUGAAUGCUGGAGGGGUGCAAGGCUAAGUAAGGAUGGGGGCUCAAGUCUCAAACAGCUCAGGUUUGGGACCGAUGUAAUUGCAACCAUCCCAGCGUUCUCAAGCUUCAGACAUAGCUGGUCCUAGGACUCAGAGGGCACCUCCAGACUGAAGUUCUCCCUGUAACCCUUCCUCUCCGUUCUUCUUAGCCAUUCUGCUCUUGCUGAUUAUUUUCAUAAAUGCUGUCUCCACA